CCAAUAGCGUAUAUUAAAGUUGUUGCAGUUAAAAAGCUCGUAGUUGAAUUUCGGGAUCAAGGAAUCGGUCAUGCCUCGGUAUGUACUGGUUUUAUUGGUUCUCACCUUCUAAAGAACCAUGAUGUCAUUUAUUUGAUGUUAUGGGGAAUUUGGACUGUUACUUUGAAAAAAUUAGAGUGUUUAAAGCAAGCUAACGCUUGAAUACAUUAGCAUGGAAUAAUGAAAUAGGACGUUCGAUCCUAUUUUGUUGGUUUCUAGGAUUGACGUAAUGAUUAAUAGGGAUAGUUGGGGGCAUUAGUAUUCAAUUGUCAGAGGUGAAAUUCUUGGAUUUAUUGAAGACUAACUACUGCGAAAGCAUUUGCCAAGGAUGUUUUCAUUAAUCAAGAACGAAAGUUAGGGGAUCGAAGACGAUCAGAUACCGUCGUAGUCUUAACCAUAAACUAUGCCGACUAGGGAUCGGAUGAUGUUAAUUUUUUAAUGACUCAUUCGGCGCCUUACG
rnacentral:rRNA from 1 species